rnacentral:rRNA from 1 species
UACGUAGGGGGCAAGCGUUGUCCGGAAUUAUUGGGCGUAAAGAGCGCGUAGGCGGUCCGAUAAGUCGGCUGUGAAAGUCAGGGGCUCAACCCUUGAAAGCCGGCCGAUACUGUCGGACUAGAGUCCGGAAGAGGCAAGUGGAAUUCCCGGUGUAGCGGUGAAAUGCGCAGAUAUCAGGAGGAACACCGGUGGCGAAGGCGGGUCUCUGGGCCGAUAUUGACGCUGAGGAGCGAAAGCGUGGGGAGCGAACAGG